UCGGAUAAGAGGCUGAAACUCGCCUCUUGUAAGUCGGAAUCGCUAGUAAUCGCAGAUCAGCAUGUUGCGGUGAAUACGUUUCCUGGUCUUGUACACACCGCCCGUCAAACCAUGAGAGUCGCCAACACCCGAAGUCCGCUUUGCGGCCUAAGGUGGGGGAGAUGAUUGGGGUUAAGUCGUAACAAGGUAAC
rnacentral:rRNA from 1 species